GCUUCGUUGGUUUAAUUGGUAUAACGCGCGUCGAAAGGGUGCGAGAUGCGGGUUCAAACCCUGCGCGAAGCG
rnacentral:tRNA from 1 species